AUGAGACGUGACAUAAUCCAAGAAGCGAUUCCCGCCGAAAGAUGGGAAGAGAGGCAGGUUCUCCAGAGGCGCGAAAUCACUCUGGCGGUCAUAACCAGUAGCGUCAUCUACACGAUCGCUAACAAUCUGAGCAACAUGGAGACGGCAUUGAAGCCGCUCUACUACUGCAUCAAGCACACCUGCUUCGGCGGCCCGGAGAAACUCCCCAACGGCGGCUGUAAGGGCGACAACGGCAUCAUCUUCUGGGAGGGCGAGAUCAUCGAGUUCACCUACGAAAAGAUCCACGUCUACUACUACGGCCCAACGAGGAAACAACUCAUCGAGGUCAAGGGCAAGAGGGUGUUCUUCGAGGAAACCACGCUCGUGCAGAACAUAGACGACCUCCCGGCGGCCUGGUACCAGAAGCGCCACGGCAACGCCGAGCUCUGGUACACAAACCUCCUGAUCCCUAAUGCGGAGAGGAUGAACGCGACCGAGGUGAUAGACUUCCGGAAUCUCCAGUACGAAGUCGCCAAGGUGAGGAAAAAGCUCGUUAAGGAACGGCUCGCGGAGGUCGGUAGGUCGUUAAGCAAGAGCCUCUCCAAUAUCUCCCUGAGUUCGACCUCCGGUUCCAGCCGGAGGCUCAGGAUCAAGUGCGGUUCCACCAAGACCGAAUCCACGGACGAUGACGAGACCGGGUCGGUGUGCUCGGAGGAGUCCGGGUACGAGUCCGUCGAGGAGCUCCAAGGCGCCGAGAAAUGCCGCUACCGGGACGCCCCUUCGGCGUCGCGGACUCCCACUCGCAAGUCCAGCCGAGCCAAGCGGGAAUGGCGCAAGACGCAAGCGGUCGUGGCUAUGCUCGGGCUCAGGCGGAAACUCCAACGCAAGAAGAGCAAUUCCGGUGGAAGCUCUAGCCUCCGAUCCGUGCCCUCCACGCCGGGCGACCAAAGCCCUCUGCUGGCCGACCGGGAGCCCGGCUACGAGUCCAGCUCCUCCAAGGGCUCCGACCGGAAGUCCGGGCGCCUCGAGAGCGGCGGAAGCGCCACGUCCAAGAAAGGAGGCGGACCUUGGCUUUCGUUAGGGGGCUGUCGAAAAAAUUUUCUCCUUUAG
rnacentral:lncRNA from 1 species